rnacentral:rRNA from 1 species
AACACGUAAAGAACCUGCCCUCAGGUCUGGGAUAACCACGAGAAAUCGGGGCUAAUACCGGAUGGGUCAUCGGACCGCAUGGUCCGAGGAUGAAAGACGCUUCGGCGUCGCCUGGGGAUGGCUUUGCGGUGCAUUAGCUAGUUGGUGGGGUAAUGGCCCACCAAGGCGACGAUGCAUAGCCGACCUGAGAGGGUGAUCGGCCACACUGGGACUGAGACACGGCCCAGACUCCUACGGGAGGCAGCAGUAGGGAAUCUUCCACAAUGGACGAAAGUCUGAUGGAGCAACGCCGCGUGAACGAUGAAGGCCUUCGGGUCGUAAAGUUCUGUUGUGAGGGAAGAACAAGUGCCGCAGGCAAUGGCGGCACCUUGACGGUACCUUGCGAGAAAGCCACGGCUAACUACGUGCCAGCAGCCGCGGUAAUACGUAGGUGGCAAGCGUUGUCCGGAAUUAUUGGGCGUAAAGCGCGCGCAGGCGGCCUCUUAAGUCUGAUGUGAAAGCCCCCGGCUCAACCGGGGAGGGCCAUUGGAAACUGGGAGGCUUGAGUAUAGGAGAGAAGAGUGGAAUUCCACGUGUAGCGGUGAAAUGCGUAGAGAUGUGGAGG